CAGUAGCCGCGGUAAAACGUAGGUGGCAAGCGUUGUCCGGAAUUAUUGGGCGUAAAGGGCUCGCAGGCGGUUUCUUAAGUCUGAUGUGAAAGCCCCCGGCUCAACCGGGGAGGGUCAUUGGAAACUGGGAAACUUGAGUGCAGAAGAGGAGAGUGGAAUUCCACGUGUAGCGGUGAAAUGCGUAGAGAUGUGGAGGAGCACCAGUGGCGAAGGCGACUCUCUGGUCUGUAACUGACGCUGAGGAGCGAAAGCGUGGGGAGCGAACAGGAUUAGAUACCCCAGUAGUCCCUGUCUCUUAUAC
rnacentral:rRNA from 1 species